UUCAACAACAGCACAGCAAGCACAAAAUCUGCAUUGUUUUUUUAAAUUAUCCUACGUACAUAAGGUAUGCAAUUGUUUGUUACUUGCUAUAUACUUUUACUUACUACUUUUAUUUUUUCAUGCACUGAUCAAUUUUGAGAUUUUGGGCUAUUUUGCUUCCAUAACGUGUCUUCUUUCACACUAGUGGAUAGUAAACAUUGAGAAUACAGAU